GGCCCCGCACAAGCGGCGGAGCAUGCGGCUUAAUUCGAUGCAACCCGAAGAACCUUACCUGGGUUUGACAUCAUGGGUCUAGCUGUGGAAACACAGUGUGCUUACGCGCCCAUGACAGGUGGUGCAUGGCUGUCGUCAGCUCGUGUCGUGAGAUGUUGGGUUAAGUCCCGCAACGAGCGCAACCCUUGUCCUAUGUUGCCAGCACGUAAUGGUGGGGACUCAUGGGAGACUGCCGGGGACAACUCGGAGGAAGGCGAGGACGAUGUCAAGUCAUCAUGCCCCUUAUAUCCAGGGCUGCACGCAUGCUACAAUGGGCGAUACAAUGGGCUGCGAUCCCGCGAGGGUCAGCCAAUCCCGUAAAGUCGUCCUCAGUUCGGAUUGGAGUCUGCAACUCGACUCCAUG
rnacentral:rRNA from 1 species